GGAGAGUAGGUCAACUAGUGGUUCGUUGCGUCUGACUGCUAAUCAGAUUCACAUUCGUGUGGUGAAGGUUCGAUUCCUUUGCUCUCCG
rnacentral:tRNA from 1 species